rnacentral:rRNA from 1 species
AGAGUUUGAUCCUGGCUCAGGAUGAACGCUGGCGGCGUGCUUAACACAUGCAAGUCGAACGAUUGAAGCUGGAGCUUGCUCCGGCCGAUUUAGUGGCGGACGGGUGAGUAACGCGUGGGUAACCUGCCUCAUACAGGGGGAUAGCAGUUGGAAACGACUGGUAAAACCGCAUAAGCGCACGGUGUCGCAUGACACAGUGUGAAAACACUCCGGUGGUAUGAGAUGGACCCGCGUCUGAUUAGCUAGUUGGUGAGGUAACGGCCCACCAAGGCGACGAUCAGUAGCCGGCCUGAGAGGGUGAACGGCCACAUUGGGACUGAGACACGGCCCAAACUCCUACGGGAGGCAGCAGUGGGGAAUAUUGCACAAUGGGGGAAACCCUGAUGCAGCGACGCCGCGUGAGUGAAGAAGUAUUUCGGUAUGUAAAGCUCUAUCAGCAGGGAAGAAAAUGACGGUACCUGACUAAGAAGCCCCGGCUAACUACGUGCCAGCAGCCGCGGUAAUACGUAGGGGGCAAGCGUUAUCCGGAUUUACUGGGUGUAAAGGGAGCGUAGACGGUAGACCAAGUCUGAAGUGAAAGCCCGGGGCUCAACCCCGGAACUGCUUUGGAAACUGGUAAACUAGAGUGCAGGAGAGGUAAGUGGAAUUCCUAGUGUAGCGGUGAAAUGCGUAGAUAUUAGGAGGAACACCAGUGGCGAAGGCGGCUUACUGGACGGUAACUGACGUUGAGGCUCGAAAGCGUGGGGAGCAAACAGGAUUAGAUACCCUGGUAGUCCACGCC